CCGGGUCCCGCGUCCUCUCGGCAGCCGCCGACGGAGCCCGGCCCGGCCGAAGGAGGAGGGGAGAAGAGGAGCGUUGACAGAUGCUGUCUUGGAGCGGCGACCGCCGGGGGAAAAGCGUGGACUGCCUCAGUGAGACGCGGCUGGUCGGCAACCGGCCCCAGCCUCGCGUUCGCCUUAAAGAUCCUAUUGGCUAGGACACCUUCCCUCCGCAGCCGCCCGCGCAGCUCCGCUCCCGCGCCCUGCGCCCGGCUCCGCGGACUAGCGCGCCCGGUCAAGAAUCCUGGGGAACCCGCUCCGCCCCCUGUUCCAGCGCCCUCCAAUAAUGUCGGCGUACAGAGGGCAGUUCCGUCCAAUCAGGCGUCUGAAAGGCCAAGCAGUCCCCAGGAGUGUAGCCAAUAAAAGGCGACUCCGGCAACACACCCGCCCUGAUCCACUGGGAACAAACCGCCCUGAGCCCUGCGGUGGGACCGAUCCUGGCUCCCAGAUCAAGUCAAGUCCGGCCGCAGCUGUGUCACAAAAUUUACCACGUGGCAACUCUUAAAACUACAGGAAAAAACAACAACAACCAGAGUGCAAGAAGAAAUAGCGCAAAGAGCAUGCCGUUUGUAAACUAUUAAGCUAGAAGAAGAUGCCACUUAUUUUCAAAAAGAUAUAUCAAGGAGGGCAAACAUGGAGCACAGAUGUCAAUCAUAGAGUCAGGCUCAUUUACUAUUUCAUGAAAACACUCAUGGUGUUUAGAGGAUUUCUGUCCAAGUAAAGCCAUUUGAUUAACUAAUCCUAUCCCAGAAACAGUGUUCAGAAGUCUCCAUUCUGAUUCUUGACAGUCCCCAGCUUCUCUUGAAGUUCAAUUGUUCUAGAUGAAUACUCAUCCAAUGGCCAUGGGAAGAGGAACAAAGCGAACUUCAGGCCAAGGCUGCUAAUAGUCUCAAUAGGUUCUCUCCAUGUCUGUUGUCUGCUGGAGUAGCCCAGGAGACUUUAUGCUCCAGACCGUGUUGCUCUGAGAUGGAGGAAGGCUUCCUGACAGCAUCAGACUGUGAUGUGAGCUAGUCUAGCAUAAAACCUUUGUUUGGUUACUCUACUGAGAUUUGAGGGUCAAUUUGAGAUCAUUAUAGACCAACCAGUCUUAAAAUUAAAAAAGAUAUGGUAUUUGUAGAUACAGUAUUAGAUCAAAUUAUAAAACAGUUUGAUCCUGGAAAACAUGAUCUGCGUCACCCUUUAAUUAUUUCUCUUUCUUUAGAGAUUGUUUUGUACUGUGUUUCACUUCAGAGAUUUAUUAAAUAAUCUGUGGAAUGAGUAUAUAACUCCAAAAUAUAUUAUACAUUCUGCCAUUUUCAAAGAAUCG
rnacentral:lncRNA from 13 species